UACGAAGGGGGCUAGCGUUGCUCGGAAUCACUGGGCGUAAAGGGCGCGUAGGCGGGUCUUUAAGUCAGGGGUGAAAUCCCGGAGCUCAACUCCAGAACUGCCUUUGAUACUGAAGAUCUUGAGUUCGGGAGAGGUGAGUGGAACUGCGAGUGUAGAGGUGAAAUUCGUAGAUAUUCGCAAGAACACCAGUGGCGAAGGCGGCUCACUGGCCCGAUACUGACGCUGAGGCACGAAAGCGUGGGGAGCAAACAGG
rnacentral:rRNA from 1 species